CCGUGUGCGCGCGAGGAUUUCUUUUGCAGAGAAUGAAACCACCGUUACUUUCCGUCCGUGGUCUACUCCAGGGUCCCCAUCCCACGCCAUAUUCUGCUGAUGGAGAAAUGGGAUCUGGGAUCUCAUCCAAGGAAAGUGACUUGCCAGGGUUACACCACUGGUAAGUGGAGACCUAUGACUUGAACCUGUCUCUAACUCCAGAGACUGUACUUUCUCUAUCUCUCCCAAAAAGGAUGCUUGUAGAAAACGAUGAUUCUGAAAUGGUACAAAUCCCUUUCCCAAAAGGCACCUCAAAGCCAGCCGCUGCUACUGACUUAUUGAUGGCUAUCACCCAGUGGCCUUGGGGAGGCGGUGGGAAGCCCAACCACUGCCUGUAAUAAGGAGAGACAACUCAGCAUCCACCCUGCAGUGAAUAAUAGAACAAAAAGCUGCCGGCGCCUGCAGGAUCAAAGCACAUGAGCAAUCACAGUGUCUCUGGGUUAAAUAGAUCAGCAAAGGCCAGGCAGCCAGCAGAUGUCAUGGAACUUUUUGGGGGAGAAGUCUGGGUUAUGGAGGAAGCCUCAGCUGGAUUUCAGUACCUUACAAGAUGCUCUUCUGUGGCUCUCUCCUGCUAACCUUCCUUGGACAUGGAAUACUCUUCCCUCUAUCCUCCCUCUUCACCACUGCUGUUCCCAAAGUCUAAAAAGAUGGGGGCAGGAGGUGAGACAGGAGGGGAUGGGAAAAGAAUACUGGACCAGGAGGCAGGAGACACUGGAUCUGUGAGUGUAGGCAAUGCUGAAUGACUUCCAUGGCCUCAGUCUCCCCAUCUGUAAAAUGGGAAGGUUGAUAUAUGGCCUCAACCUUUCUGCCCACUUUGAUAAACCAUAUUUCACCAAAAAGAGGCAGAGGGGAUCUGUUGCUUUUCAGGUUCCUGUCCAGUUACUUCUAGGUCAGACAGAAUGAUUGCCCCAAUGAUUCUGGGUCCGCAGACUCAGUCUGUGAAACCCCAUUUCUUGGAGGAGUUGGGAUCAGGACAGGCAAGAAGACUACACUAUUCCCGCCUCCUAUUUGCUCCCUCUUGCCAGUGGGGAAAUCAGUGGCAACCUUAGAGUAAUCUUGGAGGGGUGGGGGGAUGAGUUAUUAUUGGGAUUUUUAUCUGCAAAGAAUAUUUUCAGAUGUUGUUUGUGCAUUUAAAUGUACAUGCAGUUCUAGAGUAGAAGACCCUAGUGGUUGCGGUGCUGUGAGGCAUUUUGCAUAUGUUUAUCUCACUCAAGAAGAACUGUGGGGUCCUUGUGAAAGUAAGUGUGUGUGUGUGUGUGUGUGUGUGCGCGCGCGUGCAUGUCCUGAGUCAGCCUGAGUCCUGAGCCUUUUGUCUUUGCUCCUGAGUAAGCCACUGGGGGAGGUAAAUAUAUAAUUGGAGGAAGAAAUGUGUCAGGAAAUAACUUCUUUACUUGUGGAAAGUCAUUGAAAACCCUUGGUUUUGCGUAUGAGCACAGCACCCUGUAGGCAGGUGAGGAGUCUUAGAACACGGCGGGGAGCGAACCAGACACGUACUAAAGAAGCCUCCAUGUUUGAUAUAAACCCAAUGCACAGGUCCACACAGACAGGGCAUGGAGGUGUGCUCCACAGGGGCACCACACAGACCUGUGUGAUGGCAAGCCCGGAUGCAUGUACAACUAAACAUCCUCACAGAUACACUUUAAUGUAGGUGGAGACCUGGUGUUAUGGGUUAGACUAUGUCCCCCCACAAAAUAUAUGCUCAAGUCUCAUCUUCCAUCUACAUUAUUUGGAAAUAGGGUCUUUGCAGAUGUAAACUGGUUAAGAUAAUAAAAAAUAAAUAAAUAAAUAAAGGUAAUGGCAACAAUGAAAAAAAAAAGUAAGUCAUCCUGGGAUAGGGUGGGAGAGCCCUAAUUCAAUGUGACUGGUGUCCUCGAAAGAAGAGGGGAAUUUGGACACAGAGACACAGCUGAACUUACUGAGCAGAGCCUCCCAGAUGCUGCAAACUCAAGGAGGCCUCUGUGCUCAUAUCUUUAUUCUCUCUCUCUCUGUCUCUGGUACAGCGUUUAUGCUUUUUGGCAGUUCUUUCCUCUUCAUUCCCCCAUCUCUCCAAUUACACAUUCAUAUACACAUAAACACUCCGAUACCCUCAAACCACCAGAAGCCAUGUCAGAGACUUGAGAGCUUUGGACCAGGAACUGAUGGAGACAAAGAUGACCUAGGAAGAUGGCUACAUUGGGAAUGGAGGCAGAGAUUGGAGUCAUGUGGCCACAAGGGAAGGAACUCCUGGGGCUCCCAGAAGCUGGAAGAAACAAAGAUCCUUCCCCUAUAGGCUUUGGAGGGAGCGUGGCUCUGCAACACCUUGGUUUUGGACUUCUAGCUCCAGAAGUGUAAGAGAAUAAAUUUCUGGAUCUCAUAUUCAGUUCAUGGUGCUAUAUGAUGGUAGCCCUAGAAACUAAGAUACGCAGGUAUGUUGGAUGUAUGGGUCAGGCCCACACCCAGGGUGCAUAGGGCCUUUGGUUAAAAAAAAACUCUCAUUUCUGUGGGGAAUCCAUUGCCAGUAGUCUGGAUGGCAUGGCCACUGCCUCUCUUCAGGGAUGCGCACAAGACCCUGGCCUGGCCAAUCAGAAUACCUCAUGCCCAGGACCACAGUAAUUGGGUCAGGGGUUGUCAAGAUUUAUAUAAAUGAUUUACAUAAAAUGUUUAAAUGUUUUGUUAAAAUAUUUAAAAUAAAAAAAUGUUUCUAAGA